rnacentral:rRNA from 1 species
UACGUAGGAGGCGAGCGUUGUCCGGAUUCACUGGGCGUAAAGAGCUCGUAGGUGGUUUGUCGCGUUGUUCGUGAAAACUCACAGCUCAACUGUGGGCGUGCGGGCGAUACGGGCAGACUAGAGUACUGCAGGGGAGACUGGAAUUCCUGGUGUAGCGGUGGAAUGCGCAGAUAUCAGGAGGAACACCGGUGGCGAAGGCGGGUCUCUGGGCAGUAACUGACGCUGGAGGAGCGAAAGCGUGGGGAGCGAACAGG